CUGUCUAUGAGUCUGAGGGGGAUGCUGGAGACGUGACUGGAGCAGGCGAUCCAGGAUCCGCUCUGAGCUCUGGGCCCGAAACUCUGGAGGAUGGCAUGGAAGUGCCCCCAUGGAUGUCUUUGCCCGGUCGUUCGUUUCCUCCCGCGCUGGAGCCCAGCUGGAAUCCCAGCGGUGAGUAGUUUGUCUUUACUGACUCCGCUGAUUCACCGCUGGUCUCCAAAACU